rnacentral:rRNA from 1 species
UACGGAGGGUGCGAGCGUUGCUCGGAAUCACUGGGCGUAAAGGGUGCGUAGGCGGGUUUUUAAGUCAGGGGUGAAAUCCUGGAGCUCAACUCCAGAACUGCCUUUGAUACUGAGGAUCUUGAGUUCGGGAGAGGUGAGUGGAACUGCGAGUGUAGAGGUGAAAUUCGUAGAUAUUCGCAAGAACACCAGUGGCGAAGGCGGCUCACUGGCCCGUUACUGACGCUGAGGCACGAAAGCGUGGGGAGCAAACAGG